rnacentral:rRNA from 1 species
ACGCUCGACACCUACAGGAGGCAGCAGUGGGGAAUAUUGCACAAUGGGGGAAACCCUGAUGCAGCGACGCCGCGUGGAGGAAGAAGGUCUUCGGAUUGUAAACUCCUGUUGUUGGGGAAAAAGAGGAUGGUACCCAACAAGGAAGUGACGGCUAACUACGUGCCAACAGCCGCCGGUAAUACUGAGCGGGCGUGGCGAAGGCG